rnacentral:rRNA from 1 species
ACUCAAAUGAAUUGACGGGGGCCCGCACAAGCAGCGGAGCAUGUGGUUUAAUUCGAAGCAACGCGAAGAACCUUACCAGGACUUGACAUCCUAAGAAUCCUUAAGAGAUUAGGGAGUGCCCUUCGGGGAACUUAGAGACAGGUGGUGCAUGGUUGUCGUCAGCUCGUGUCGUGAGAUGUUGGGUUAAGUCCCGCAACGAGCGCAACCCCUAUUGUUAGUUGCUACCAUUAAGUUGAGCACUCUAGCGAGACUGCCGAGGUUAACUCGGAGGAAGGUGGGGAUGACGUCAAAUCAUCAUGCCCUUUAUGUCCUGGGCUACACACGUGCUACAAUGGCCGGUACAGAGAGAUGCAAGACCGCGAGGUGGAGCAAAUCUAUAAAACCGGUCCCAGUUCGGAUUGUAGGCUGCAACUCGCCUACAUGAAGCCGGAGUUGCUAGUAAUCGCAGAUCAGAAUGCUGCGGUGAAUACGUUCCCGGGCCUUGUACACACCGCCCGU